ACAUUUAUUACUAAAUAAUAAUAUUUUCAUUUUUACUUAUGAUUCCAUUUGCAAGUAUUAAAGUGUACUGUAUAAUAUUUAAUAUAUUUUGUUAAUUUUAAAUGCUCAAUAUUGAUCGGUAUUUAUAACCUAACUUAACUGUCAACAAUUUAUCGGACUUAAAAGAUUGCAAGCAUCAGUUUGAACAUGUUUAGCUAAAAGCCUUCAUGACCAAAUUAACCAGUGAUGCUAAUCUGUUACAAAACAUAAUGGUCUACAAUGAAUGUUUAUUGAUUGUCGACAACAAUAAUACAAAAAUGACAAUGAACAUUAAAAACCCUAAUGUCGCUUGUGUAGAUAAUCAAAUGAUCUUCAGUCGUGCCUAUCGCUGACUUUGAGAAUUAUAGCAAUGAUAAAGUUAAACAAAAAAGUAUGGUGAUUUGCUGUAUACAUUUCUUAAAAUAUAUUGACUGCUCAUUUCAGAAAUUAUUGGUAUUCAAUUUAGCAGUCGCAGCAAUACUUGGAGAUGUGCGUUUUAACGUUGAUGUAUGGAAAAUCUUUGUUUAAGGGGCCUCUGCAAAACUGCAUAUUUUUUGUCAAAAACCAGUCAUGGUAAUUUUUACUAUAUUCUAAAACGUGUUAUCCGACAAAAGUUUUAAAAAUUGGUAUAGAUUUGUCAAUACUUGCUUGAUGUAUCGAUCAAAGUAAAUAUUUGUAUUCUAAAAAAUUGCGAUUAUGUACAAAGAAAUUGACUAAAAAUAGAUUUAAAAUUGUGCCUCCAUCAAUACCUUAUAAAUGUAAUGAAGAAUCUAAAUUAUAUUUAAAUAUCUCAGUAUUUUCAAGAAUACAAAAAUAGAGCCUAUUUGUAAUAUAAAAGUUAAAAAAAAAUUAAAUAUCAAAAUGAAUACCUCUUUCUUGUGUUAUUAUAUAUGUUAUAAAUCUUAGUUUAAUGUUAAGUUUUAGUUUAUAAUUUUUUCUACAAAUGCCUUAAAAAAAUGCUAGUUUUAGAGGCCCCUUAAAAAAGAUUUACAUUGAAGCACACAAAGACAAUUUCAACCGAUUAGUAUCCAGGAGCUGCAAAGAAAACGGGAAUUUGCUACAUUGUUGUAUACUGAAUUAUUUAUUAAGUAUUAUCAUAUUCGUAGCGAAAAAUAAGCUGUAAUUCGUUUUUUAAAAUUGUCUCUAUAGAUUUAAUGACAUAAUAAUGUUAGUUUAACAAGUUUCUUACAUCAUAGUGCUAUAAAUUUAGAUUCUUCCGAAUUCUGACUUUAAAGGUUACUUACAAAUGCUAUUUCAAUAUACAUCUUAGUAAAACUAAAAUAGACAAAACAAGUAGGCUCAGGGAAAUGGGGUGGUAUGUUUUAAAUAAUUACUGUUGUACAAUAAGAGCGGUUUCACAGGAGGCCUCUAUUAGAUGAAAGCAAACACUGUCACCAUGUGUAGUGCAACCAAUCUGAAUCUAUUGUUGUUUGUAAAAUCAUAUUAUUUCUCCUUAUACUUCUCAUAAAGGCCAAAGAGUAGCUUCGUGAACCGUGUGAAAGAGCUCUAAUUGUAUACCUACCACAUUAUUGUAGUAUGAUAUUAUUAUCAGAUGGCUCAGGAAAUGGUAUAAUUAGGAUUUAGGAUGGUCUAAAAAAAUAUAUUUUUAUUAAAAAAAAGUUCUGCUCUCACCUUUCUUUAUAGUAUAAAAGUAAAUUUAAAUUUAAAAAUUAAAAAUUUUUUUUUUUUUACCGAUACCUAUACCAAUCCAAUAUUAUAUACAUUUUUAUUUUUGAUAUUUAAUAAAUUAUUAUAACUUGUUUGGCUUUUUAAACCGGGAAUAGACUGCUUUAAGGCCUAGUUUUGUCGCAUUUAGGAGUUUGUUUUACUCUUUCUAGACAGUUUUCCUGCUUAGAGAGGGUGUCCAAUGUAACGGAGUGUCAAAUAUGUGAUAAUGAGUGCUUACGCAAUACCACUUCACCUCUUCGGCCACUCGCCCUCUUUACAUAAGAACAUAAAUGGCUUAAAAUCAAUUUUUUUAAUAUUUUAAUAUUUUUUUUUUGUAUUUUAGAAAUUACUUUUAAAUAUUGGUAAAAUAUAUUUUCUAUGUUAUUUUUUUUUAUCAGCCCACUGUAAAUGUAUUUUUUUUUUUGAUACUUCAAAAACAUUUUAUCUUAUGUUAUUUUACAAUAACAUACAAUUGUCACUAGUAACUUUCACAGAUUUUAGUUUUAUCUAAAAGUGAAUAAGUUGAGUAUAAAACUAAGAUGAUUUAAAUUUUUGCUGUAUAAUCUGUAAUUUAAUUAAUUGAAAUACUAAAAAUAUUUAAAGUUCCUUAAAUUAAAAUAGAGGGGUUUCAGUUGCUUAAUAACAAACUAUUUAGUUAUUUUACUUAUUCAGUUAUCCUUUUCAUUAUUAUAAUUGUAUAAAUAACAUCCUUAGUAUUACUAUGUUAAACAUUCCCCUCUACUCUUGUCAAAAAUAUUUUAUUGACAAUUUUAAUUAUUUUAAUAUUCUAUUAAAUAAGUUGUAAAACAUGUCCGGGUACAGAUUUGAUUCCUAGUAUUUUCUUGCUAAAGAGCCUCACAUCUGCGUAUUAUUGCUCAAUAACUGAUAACCAUUCAUUAUAAUUUUAACUGUAUCCUGAAAUGCAUGAUUCAACAAUGGUUUUCAAAGCGGUUGUAGAUAUUUCAAUACUUACUUUGUGUAUCGAUAAAAAGUACAUUUUAUGUUUUAGUAUUAUGUUAUUGUAAAAAUCAUUAAAAGAGUUAACGUUUUCACAAAGCAAUAAUUUUUAAUUAACUAAAAAUAAUUUUAAAAUUGUGCCUUAAUAGUAUCUUGUAAUCUUGUGAAGAAUUCAAAUGUUUUUAUAAAACAUCAAUCGGAUGAUUUUAAAGAAUGUACUGAUCAAAGUAGAAACAUAUUUUUUGUACAAAAAUAGAGCCUGUAUAUGUUAUAGAAGUUGAAAAAAAUUAAUAUAAUCUUUAAAUAUCAAAAUAGAUCCCUCAUUUUUGUGUUAAUUAUGUAAUCAUGCUUACAAAUUUUAGCUUAAUGCUUAAAUUUAGAGAAAAAUUGCCUAUACAAUGCGCCUUAAUACGUGUUAUUGUAGAGGCCUCUAAAAUGUAAUUAAGAGAUCUUAAACUCUCCGCUAACUAUCUAUUUCUGGUGGUAUUUUACUAACUAUUGGAUAAGUAGUAUUAUUUCUCCACUUCUUCAAAGGAGUGAUUUUAAUGAUGUUUCAAAUUUCAGCCCAAUCUUGCUUAUGUUUAGUGGAUUAGUACUUACAUUAGUUCAAAAUCCCAAAUCUUUAUUAUGUUAUAAAAUAUCACCUAUUUAUUGUUAAUUUAAUAUCACCACCAUGUGAUUUUUGGAGAUUUUUUGAAGGCUUUUGAUAAAAUUGGCCAAGAUACAAACUAUCUUGUAUUGGUACAUACAUUAUCAGACGACUGAUCCUAUUUUCUCCUUGAUAUUCCUGUUAUUAGUUAUUACAGGUCUUACCCAGCUUGUUAAGUAUUAACAAUUUAACUCAUGUUCUUUUAAUGUUUUAUCCAGUAUCCCCCAAGCUAUCCUAUCUUGCUCCUCUGUCUAUCUUCAUAAAUGAUACAGAGUAUAACAAAUUCCUUUUUUCUCCAAUUAAUUUUAAGAUUACUUAACUUUAAAUGUAAUUAUGAUCUUUUCUCGUUCUAAUUCAUCAAUUUGUAUUAACUAUAACACAUUAGUGAUGUUUAGACAAUAUUAAUAAAAGCUGUCGAAGUUAAAGAUUUAAUAAUUAUUUAAGAUUCUAAUAUAUUUUAAUUUGGACAUACUAUAGGUAUAAAACAAAUUGUUUGAAAUUCUAGGUUCUGAAAUUAGAAACUGUAAGAAACUUAAAUAUCCAAAUUCUUAAAGUGGUAUUGGUUUUACUGUUUAUAUAACUAUAUAUAUAAUACUACCUGCUGUAUUUCAUAUUUUAUCUUUAAUAUACAGCGCGUGUUACAAAUUUUAAUUUGCACUUAAAUGAGAUGUUGCACAAUGUUCAAUAUUAUCCACUAUCUUUUUUCUUUUUAU